GCCUCGGUGGCUCAGUCGGUUGAGUGUCCAACUUUGGCUCAGGUCAUGAUCUUGCAGUUUGUGGGUUCGAGCCCCACUUCGGGCU
rnacentral:tRNA from 1 species